CUUAAUUUGGUGUGUAGCAUAUUGAAUUUUCUAUUCAAAGGUAGAGUUUAACUUUAAUUAAGA
rnacentral:tRNA from 1 species